CUAUACAUGCAAGUCGAGCGGAAUGAUGAAGAAGCUUGCUUCUUCUGAUUUUAGCGGCGGACGGGUGAGUAACACGUGGGCAACCUACCUUGUAGAUUGGGAUAACUCCGGGAAACCGGGGCUAAUACCGAAUAAACCAUUUUGCUUCAUGGCAAGAUGUUGAAAGGCGGCUUCGGCUGUCACUACUAGAUGGGCCCGCGGCGUAUUAGCUAGUUGGUAGGGUAAUGGCCUACCAAGGCGACGAUACGUAGCCGACCUGAGAGGGUGAUCGGCCACACUGGGACUGAGACACGGCCCAGACUCCUACGGGAGGCAGCAGUAGGGAAUCUUCCACAAUGGACGAAAGUCUGAUGGAGCAACGCCGCGUGAGUGAAGAAGGUUUUCGGAUCGUAAAACUCUGUUGUAAGGGAAGAACACGUACGAGAGUAACUGCUCGUACCUUGACGGUACCUUAUUAGAAAGCCACGGCUAACUACGUGCCAGCAGCCGCGGUAAUACGUAGGUGGCAAGCGUUGUCCGGAAUUAUUGGGCGUAAAGCGCGCGCAGGCGGUUCUUUAAGUCUGAUGUGAAAGCCCACGGCUCAACCGUGGAGGGUCAUUGGAAACUGGAGAACUUGAGUACAGAAGAGGAAAGCGGAAUUCCACGUGUAGCGGUGAAAUGCGUAGAGAUGUGGAGGAACACCAGUGGCGAAGGCGGCUUUCUGGUCUGUAACUGACGCUGAGGCGCGAAAGCGUGGGGAGCAAC
rnacentral:rRNA from 1 species